UAGGGAAUAUUAGUAAUGGGCGAAAGCCUGAACUAGCAACACCGCGUGUGCGAAGAAGGCCUUCGGGUUGUAAAGCGCUUUUAGAGGAGAUGAGAAAGGACAGUAUCCUCUGAAUAAGCCUCGGCGAACUACGUGCCAGCAGCCGCGGUAAAACGUAGGAGGCUAGCGUUAUCCGGAUUUAUUGGGCGUAAAGCGCGUGCAGGCGGUCUAGUUAGUUGGAUGUGAAAGCUCCUGGCUUAACUGGGAGAGGUCGUUCAAUACUGCUAGACUAGAGAAUGGGAGAGGGAGGUGGAAUUCCGGGUGUAGUGGUGAAAUGCGUAGAUAUCCGGAGGAACACCAGUGGCGAAAGCGGCCUCCUAGACCACUUCUGACGCUAAGACGCGAAAGCUAGGGUAGCAAACG
rnacentral:rRNA from 1 species